GACGACGCAACGCCGCGUGGAGGAUGAAGAUCUUCGGGUCGUAAACUCCUGUCGAGCGGGAAGAAACCCGCGGGGAUGAAUAAUCCCUGCGGCUGACGGUACCGCUAAAGGAAGCCCCGGCUAACUCCGUGCCAGCAGCCGCGGUAAUACGGGGGGGGCAAGCGUUGUUCGGAAUUACUGGGCGUAAAGGGCUCGUAGGCGGCCAACUAAGUCGGACGUGAAAUCCCCAGGCUCAACUUGGGAACUGCGUCCGAUACUGGAUGGCUUGAAUUCGGGAGAGGGAUGCAGAAUUCCAGGUGUAGCGGUGAAAUGCGUAGAUAUCUGGAGGAAUACCGGUGGCGAAGGCGGCAUCCUGGACCGACAUUGACGCUGAGGAGCGAAAGCCAGGGGAGCAAACGGGAUUAGAUACCCCGGUAGUCCUGGCCCUAAACGAUGAAUGCUUGGUGUGACGGGUAUCGAUCCCUGUCGUGCCGAAGCUAACGCAUUAAGCAUUCCGCCUGGGGAGUACGGUCGCAAGGCUG
rnacentral:rRNA from 1 species